CCUACGGGGGGCAGCAGUAAGGAAUAUUGGUCAAUGGACGAAAGUCUGAACCAGCUAUGCCGCGUGGAGGAUGAAGGCCCUCUGGGUUGUAAACUUCUUUUAUAUGGGACGAAAAAGGGCCUUUCUAGGUCAACUGACGGUACCAUGUGAAUAAGCACCGGCUAACUCCGUGCCAGCAGCCGCGGUAAUACGGAGGGUGCAAGCGUUAUCCGGAUUCACUGGGUUUAAAGGGUGCGUAGGUGGGUUGGUAAGUCAGUGGUGAAAUCUCCGAGCUUAACUUGGAAACUGCCAUUGAUACUAUCAGUCUUGAAUAUUGUGGAGGUUAGCGGAAUAUGUCAUGUAGCGGUGAAAUGCUUAGAUAUGACAUAGAACACCAAUUGCGAAGGCAGCUGGCUACGCAUAUAUUGACACUGAGGCACGAAAGCGUGGGGAUCAAACAGGAUUAGAUACCCUGGUAGUC
rnacentral:rRNA from 1 species